rnacentral:rRNA from 1 species
GACGAACGCUGGCGGCGUGCCUAAUACAUGCAAGUAGAACGCUGAAGAGAGGAGCUUGCUCUUCUUGGAUGAGUUGCGAACGGGUGAGUAACGCGUAGGUAACCUGCCUGGUAGCGGGGGAUAACUAUUGGAAACGAUAGCUAAUACCGCAUAAUAGUAGAUGUUGCAUGACAUUUGCUUAAAAGGUGCAAUUGCAUCACUACCAGAUGGACCUGCGUUGUAUUAGCUAGUUGGUGAGGUAACGGCUCACCAAGGCAACGAUACAUAGCCGACCUGAGAGGGUGAUCGGCCACACUGGGACUGAGACACGGCCCAGACUCCUACGGGAGGCAGCAGUAGGGAAUCUUCGGCAAUGGACGGAAGUCUGACCGAGCAACGCCGCGUGAGUGAAGAAGGUUUUCGGAUCGUAAAGCUCUGUUGUAAGAGAAGAACGAGU